AGGUUGUCCGUGAUGUAUUUGCUU
rnacentral:miRNA from 1 species